CUUGGUCAUUUAGAGGAAGUAAAAGUCGUAACAAGGUUUCCGUAGGUGAACCUGCGGAAGGAUCAUUAAAAGUAAUAUAUAUUCAUUGGAAUAUACAUUUCAAACCCCUUGUCUAAACCACCUGUUGCUUCCGGCUGUUUGGGCUGUAUGGUUAGCUGUAUAGCCUGGCCGGAAGGUAUCANAUAAAAUAUUGUAUUUAGAGUCUUCUGAAUUGUUAAAACAAAAGUUAAAACUUUCAACAACGGAUCUCUUGGUUCUCGCAUCGAUGAAGAACGCAGCGAAAUGCGAUAAGUAGUGUGAAUUGCAGAAUUCAGUGAAUCAUCGAAUCUUUGAACGCACAUUGCGCCUUCCGGUAUUCCGGGAGGCAUGCCUGUCCGAGCGUCAUCAAAAACCACUCAAGUAGUUUUGCUUGGUAAUGAAAGAAGAGUUUGCUUGCGGAUUCCCUUUCGAAAUUCAAUGGCGGAGAGUCUCAUGAUUCUGGCGUAGUAAUAACUUAUUCGCUUGGUCAUUGUAACAAUCCUGCCCCAAAUCCCCAAUUCUAGUGUUUGACCUCGGAUCAGGUAGGGAUACCCGCUGAACUUAAGCAUAUCAAUAAGCGGAGGAA
rnacentral:rRNA from 1 species